rnacentral:tRNA from 3 species
GGGGAUAUAGCUCAGUUGGUAGAGCGCUGCUUUUGCACGGCAGAUGUCAGCGGUUCGAGUCCGCUUAUCUCCA